UUCUAUGAUUCUAUAUUAUUUAAAUUGCUAGUUUGCAUUAUAACUUAUACUAUUUCCGUAUGAUUGUCCAAUGCCCUCUGCACAGCAUGUUUAGCUUGCAACUGACUUAGGUUCUUUCACGCAUAAUGUUUAAAGUCAAUAUUCAAUUUGUGUAACUGGAUGGGAUAGUAUAGAAAAUGUGGUUUUAAGAACCAACUGACACAAUAAACAAACUGUUCUAAAAUAAGCAGCUAAUAAAUGAAAUUGUCCAAAAUUUCAUUCUAAGCAUACUAUAAUGAUCAUGCAUGCAUGACUCUAUUUAGAGAAUUUUCUAUGAACCCAAACCACAAUUUCAGCACUGAAGUUUGAAUUAAAAAACAUGCCAGUGCUUCUUGAAAUCAGGGAAUUUAUUAAUAUAUUUUAAUGGCCAGCAAAUCUCUGAAAUCAAAUGAUGCAAAAAGCAUAAUCUAGAACUGAUCUACACAGACAUCAUAAUCACCUUUGUGACAAGUAAGUGUACUGUCACGUAGUAUCAUGACCAGCCUGAGAUCAAAAAGCAUAGGUAGAUGAACUUCUUGGAAAUAAAGAUACAGUUUACAUGCAACUGUCUGCGAAUAUGAUUAUGGCACACAACACCACACAGUACCCUAAAAACAAAACCAAACAAAAAAGGCUGUGAAACGCUGUAACUUCAAAAGUAUAUCAGAUCUGGUUCCUGACACCAUUACUGGGGCCUUUUGAUAUCAUAUAGGUAUCAAAUAGACACAUAAACCACAUGUUCUGCAAGUAUUUAUACUUCCAGAGAUGCCACAGUCAACAGUGUACUUACCUUGGAAUGG